CUCGUAGGCGGUUUGUUGCGUCGGGAGUGAAAACUUACAGCUUAACUGUGAGCGUGCUUCCGAUACGGGCAGACUUGAGGUAUUCAGGGGAGAACGGAAUUCCUGGUGUAGCGGUGAAAUGCGCAGAUAUCAGGAGGAACACCGGUGGCGAAGGCGGUUCUCUGGGAAUAUCCUGACGCUGAGGAGCGAAAGUGUGGGGAGCGAACAGGAUUAGAUACCCUGGUAGUCCACACCGUAAACGUUGGGCGCUAGGUGUGGGGUCCAUUCCACGGAUUCCGUGCCGCAGCUAACGCAUUAAGCGCCCCGCCUGGGGAGUACGGCCGCAAGGCUAAA
rnacentral:rRNA from 1 species